AAGAUCAUACUUCACAGGAUCAUUUCUGUAGUAUAUCUUCACAUUCUCUCUACUCAAUAGUGGAGUCGAUGCAGCCAUGAUGAAGAGAUGUAACCCUCUUCCUUGAGCGUGAGGACGACUCGAAAAUCCAAUUUUUAAUUGGAAGUUCAGUCAUCGAUGAUCGUUCACCUUCCGUGCUAUGCAUCGAAGGCCCGGGAACUGGGUUUUCUGAGUGGU